rnacentral:rRNA from 1 species
GUGAGGAAUAUUGCGCAAUGGAGGCAACUCUGACGCAGCCAUGCCGCGUGCAGGAAGAAGGCGCUACGCGUUGUAAACUGCUUUUAACCGGGAAGAAACCCCAGGACGUGUCCUGGGUUGACGGUACCGGAGGAAUAAGCACCGGCUAACUUCGUGCCAGCAGCCGCGGUAAUACGAAGGGUGCAAGCGUUAUCCGGAUUCAUUGGGUUUAAAGGGUGCGUAGGCGGAGCGUUAAGUCAGUGGUGAAAUCCUGCAGCUUAACUGUAGACUUGCCAUUGAUACUGGCGCUCUUGAGUGCGCUUGAAGUGGGCGGAAUGUGCCGUGUAGCGGUGAAAUGCUUAGAUAUGGCACAGAACACCAAUUGCGAAGGCAGCUCACUAAGGCGAUACUGACGCUGAGGUGCGAAAGCGUGGGGAGCAAACAGGAUUAGAAACCCUGGUAGUCC